GGUGGUUCUCAGGUGAUGCACCCUGGAAUCAGGCUCCCUCCUCUCUGGUUCUGGGUGCAUCACCCAAGAACCGCA
rfam:Myotis brandtii contig235644, whole genome shotgun sequence.